AGUGGGAUUGCUGGCUCAUAUGGUAAGUGUAUGUUUAACUUGAUAAGAAACUGCCAAAGUGCUUUUCCAGAGGAAAUGUACCAUAUUGCACUCCCCCUGGCAAU
rnacentral:pre_miRNA from 1 species